ACUCGUCUAGCUCAGUCGAUAGAGCUCAAGGCUUUUUAACCUUGAGGUUGUGGGUUCGAGCCCCAUGAUGAGCG
rnacentral:tRNA from 1 species